CGUUUCCGGUUCAGACCAUGGGGUCUACUUUCGUGCUGAUGAAAGAUGCAGUUCUUCGAUUACAGUUUCCUUUCCCAGCAAUCCUUGAUGUUUGAUCUCUAUUUGUUUUCCGUUGACGAACUGAUUGUUAUUUUAUGAUGUGAAAUAAGUGAUGUGACUAAAAAGUCGGUUAAAGAAAGUAGUGAAUUCCGGCACGUCGAUAGAAGGGCAGGCAAUGUGAGGUUUGGAGCGCACAUUUUAAGAAGAAGCGACAUUUUCAGUGCAAAAAACAACGGAAUCAACGGUCGGUAAUACAACGAUUAGUACGAGAACCUGUAUUCUGGCAUGGCGUUGAAAUUUAAUUACAUAAUGGAAAGUGAGGAGCAACGUUAACGAAAUCAUUCGUGCGGUGUAUAUACUCGUGAAGUUUGUGAUUGUGAUCAAUAGCGUCCACGAAGACGAGUGAGAACUUUCUAAAUUGUGGUGCAGAAAAUGUACUGAAUACACAAUGUUCUAGAAUAUUCAUAUUGUUUGGCGGCAGAACAAAAGAUGAAUACAUAAUUUAAUGGAGAAAUGCCAAAAGAUUGAUGUGAAGAUUUUAGGGGACAAGUAAUAAUUCGCACGGAAUAGCUUUGGUGUUCCGUAGGCGCGAUAAAAUUCUUACCGUAUUAUUCUGUGUAUAACGACCCGCUUUUAGUUCACAAAUUAUCAAAGUCCGAUUAAGUGGGUCGUUAUACACAGGUAGUAACUUUUCCAUUCGAUUCUAGAGUGGAGGUUAAAACACGUACCACAUUGUUACAACUGAUGAAAUGUAGAAAACAAAUUUUUUCAAUUUUUUUCAUAAACAUAAAAAAAUGGUUUUUGGGGGUCGUUAUACACUGAAAAAUACGGUACUUUGCUAUAUUGACAAUGAAGGAAAAAUUGUAAACAGCGGUUGGCUGGUAUGUUGCAAUGUUUCGUUUUGUUAGAAAUAUGUGCAAUGUCCGCGUGUGGGGGUCCGCGACAGCCGAGCGGUAGCGCUGGUUAGAAAUUCGGCCCAUGAGCGCCGGGGCUAACCACCUCGACGGCGUGGGUUCGAAUCCCAACCGAGACCGGACCCUCCCCUGUACGAGAGGACUGACUAUCCACGUACAACAGGGAAACAAGUCUCGUAAGCCCUUAACGGGGGCAGGCAUGACCAAGAGUUCGUUACGCCAAGAAGAAGAAGAAGAAGAUGUGCAAUGUGAUGUUCAUAAUUUGAUUUGAAUUUUCAAUGACGGCAAAUUUCCUUCCAAAUAAUGUGUUUAACCGAAUAUUAUGGCGUACUAUUGGUACUUAUCAAAUGCUGCAUUAUAACUAGGCAUCGUGAUGAGGUUGGGUUUGUGAUGUGACGUGUUGUUGAUGUUGGAUAGUGAAUGUGUACUAACGGCAAGGGAUAAUUGCUACG